ACUUUUCUAGUUUAAAAUUGUUAAAUGACCUUGACUUUGAUGCUUACCUCAUGUUUGCUAAAAACUGGCUUUUGUAGUUGCUUGAUGCCUCUGCCUUCCUUCU